rnacentral:lncRNA from 12 species
UUUUGCUUUUAUUCCUAUUUCUAUUUUUAUUUUUGCUUUUACUUUUUUUACAUCUCUUUUCAUUUUAUACGCAUUUCUAUUUUUAUUUCUAUUUGAAUUUCAUUACUAUUUCUAUUUUCACUUCUAAUUUCUACCGCCAUCAAUUUCUUCCGUGCCAACCUUGAGCUGACGUGAAGGAUCAUCCCCGAACUCUCCCAGAUUUGAUGUAAUUUGGAUUUCUGCAGGUUCAGCAGCGUUUUCCCCAGCCUGAGCAUGGCAGUGAAGCGCCGGGAGCAGACGCUGCAGGAGUACAAACGCCUCCAGUCCCGGCUGGAGAAAUACGAGGAGAAAGAGAAAACGGGGCCGGUCCUGGCCAAGCUGCACCAGGUACUGAAAUGCAGGGAAAUGCUGGGAAAUGCAGGGAGAAGUCAGGGGAAAUGCAGGGAAAAUCAAGGGAAAAAUCAGGGAAAAUUCAGGGAAAAUCAGGGAAACUUCAGGGAAAAUCAGGGAAAAUUCAGGUAAAGUUCAGGGAAAAAUUAGGAAAAAUUUAGAAAAAAAUUCAGGAAGAAUUCAAGAAAAAUUCAGGGAAAAUUCAGGAAAAAGUCAGGGAAAAUUCAGGGAAAAUACAGGGAAAAAUUCAGAGAAAAUUCAGGGAAAAUCCAGAAAAAAUUCAGGAAAAAUUCAGGGAAAAUUCCAGAAAAAGGGAAAAUUCAGGAAAAAUUCAGGGAAAAGUCAGGGAAAAUUCAGGGGAAAUCAGGGAAAAUUCAGGGAAAAUCAGGGAAAAUCCUGGAAAAAUUCAGGGAAAGUUCAGGGAAAAUUCAGGGAAAAGCAGGAAAAAAUCAGGAAAAAUUUAGGAAAAAUCAGGGAAAAUUCAGGGAAAAUCAGAGAAAAUCAGGAAAAAUUCAGGGAAAAUACAGGGAAAAUUCAGGGAAAAUUCAGGGGAAAGUCAGCCAAAAUUCAGGGAAAAUUCAGGGAAAAUCCAGGAAAAAUUCAGAAAAAAUUCAGGAAAAAUUCAGGAAAAAAUCCAGGGAAAAAUCCAGGAAAAUUCAGGGAAAAUUCAGGAAAAAAUCAGGAAAAAUCCAGGGAAAAUUCAGGAAAAAUUCAAGGAAAAUCCAGGGGAAAUUCAGGAAAAAUUCAGGAAAAAAAUCAGAAAAAAAAUCAAUAAAAAUUUGCGGAAAAUCCAGGAAAUAUUAGGGGAAAAAUGAGAAAAAAUUCAGGAAAAUUCCAUGGAAAAUUCAGGGAAAUUCCAGGGAAAAUUCUGAAAAAAUUCA